UACGGAGGGUGCAAACGUUGCUCGGAAUCAUUGGGCGUAAAGCGCACGUAGGCGGCCUGUUAAGUCGGAUGUGAAAGCCCUGGGCUCAACCCAGGAAGUGCAUACGAAACUGGCAGGCUUGAAUAUGGAAGAGGGUCGCGGAAUUCCCGGUGUAGAGGUGAAAUUCGUAGAUAUCGGGAGGAACACCAGUGGCGAAGGCGGCGACCUGGGCCAAUAUUGACGCUGAGGCGCGAAAGCGUGGGGAGCGAACAGG
rnacentral:rRNA from 1 species